GGAUAAUAAAGUUGACGAGCUCAGGGCAAGGAUCUCCUUCCAGAGAGACAUCAGGGAUUGUAACAUACUCUGUUUCACGGAAACAUGUCUCUCUCGGGAUAUACUGUCCCCGUACGUACAGUCACUAAUGAUAGGAGAAUUUGAAUGUUUAAAGGUAAUGAUUAACGUAUUCCACCCAAAAUUGAACAACUGUGUGAAAUGUGUUAGAAUGAGAAUGUGUGUAGCUCUGUUAGAAUUCUAGAACUAGGGAAUUAUAUUAUUUUGUAGCUAUGCGAGCAGGGUGCAGAUGUAAAACAGAUAACAGAAAACCAUUAGAGGUUUUCAAACCAAGGGGCCCCAACGGGGGAGGAGAAGUGGAAAAAUACUGUUUGUUUGAACAGGGAGUAGCCUAAGAUAAGGAUUUGUGUGUGUAUAAAAGACUGGCUCUGCUUUUGGGGGGCAGAGCGCUCUCUGAAUAAAGUGUUGAUCUAUUGCAGACUGGGACUUUGUCUAAUUCUUCAUUAACCAGAGCCUUACAACCUCUGGGAAUUGGUCAAAGCUAUAAAAUAGUUCAGUUAGAACAUUGGGAUAAAAAUUCUCGUGACAACUAACAUUUACAGAUUGAGAGCAUCCUGUCGGACUGUAUCGCCACCUGGUACGGCAACUGCACCAUCCGCAACCGCAGGGCUCUCCAGAGGGUGGUGAGGUCUGCACAACGCAUCACCUGGGGCAAACUACUUGCCCUACAGGACACCUACAGCACCCGAUGUCACAGGAAGGCCAAAAAGAUCAUCAAGGACCAUAACCACCUGAGCCACUGCCUGUUCACCCUGCUAUCAUCCAGAAGGCGAGGGUGGGACGGUUCAUGUGCUUAUCAUGGAGGGCGGCCAGCUCCUUCAUUUUCUGCCGGACCCUUGUGAUUUCAUACUGAAUCUGAAAGCCCACGCAACCACAAGAUAAACACAGAUGCAAGAGAACAGGACAUGCACUGAAAGCUCCAAUAAAAAUGCAAUUUUAAAGAAGACUGACACGGGACCUUGGAAUUUGGUAUAGGCUAAUACUAAUAGGCUGACAUUUUCUGAAGUAUCUACAGCUCAAUAGUUUCAUUAUGGUGGUGAAACUAGGCAUAUGUAAUAGCCUAAACGUAAAGGAUUAGCUCACUAUUUUACAACUUGAUGUUAGAUUGUUCCUCACCCUGAAACUCCAUAUUUGGUUAGAUGUUACUUAAAAGGUGAUUUGGCCAUGAAUAUUAUAUUUAUUUUUUUAACAUGCUCAUAUGUCCGCAUCAAAGCCAUUGAUUGUGGUGGCCAAAGUAAGCUGCAGUUUGUUGUGGCUGUUUAAAGAAAACUGAACCAUGGAUUAGUUUCUCCUGACCUAUAAACUACUUUCAGGAUGAGGGACCAUCUAACAUCAAGAAGUUGUAAAAUAGUAAACUACGCCUUUAAUAACAUAGUCCUCAAAAGGAAAAGGAACUUGGUGGAGAGAUCUCUGAUGAAGGUUGAAAUAGUGCCUUACUUAAUAAAGUAAAUGGAAGCUCCUCUUGUGCCCGGCUCAGCCUUAUACCAUUUAAGGUACUUCACCGUAUCCAUUUCAGUAAGGCCAGAUUCUUAAAAUUCUGCCCAAAUUGAUGGUACAUGUGGCAGGUGUAAAAUCUCCUUGGCGAACUUGACUCACAUGUUCUGGUCCUGUCCGGUAGAUUGGUCCACUAUAUUUAAGACCCUUUCUGAAGCAUUGGAUAUAGAGUUGCAGCCUAGUGCAGAAAAGGCUAUUUUUGGAGUACCAAACAACAAUUCUUCCCUGACCAAUAGACAGCUAGAUGCCAUUGCCUUUGUCUCCCUGUUGGCCCACAGACAGAUUUUAUUGGAAAUAUAUCAAUCCUCCCGUAGCCUCAAAGAUUGGUUGAGGGGGGACAAAAAGGGGGAAAAAAUGUACAAUGUCUUUACAUUGUUAUACUUCAUUCACUGUGAAUAAAAAUAUGAUAUGCAGUACCAGUCAA